rnacentral:rRNA from 1 species
UACAGAGAUCGUGCCCUUCGGGGUAGACCUCCCACCCUGUGUUAUUUACCUUUGUUGCUUUGGCGGGCUCGCCCGCCAGAGAAUUAUUCACCCUGUGUUUAGUGUUGUCCGAGUAAAUAUAUAAUAAGUUAAAACUUUCAACAACGGAUCUCUUGGUUCUGGCAUCGAUGAAGAACGCAGCGAAAUGCGAUAAGUAAUGUGAAUUGCAGAAUUCAGUGAAUCAUCGAAUCUUUGAACGCACAUUGCGCCCCUGGGUAUUCCUGGGGGCAUGCCUGUCCGAGCGUCAUUUCAACCCUCAAGCACAGCUUGGUCUUGGGCCAUGCCGGGAACGGCCGGCCUUAAAACUAGUGGCGGUGCCGCCGGGCUCUACGCGUAGUAGUUAUUUCUCGCGUUUGGGUCUCGGCGGACGCUGGCCAGCAACCCCCAAUUUUCUAUGGUUGACCUCGGAUCAGGUAGGGAUACCCGCUGAACUUAAGCAUAUCAAUAAGCGGAGGA